GGGCAAGUGAUUGGGGUGAAGUCGUAACAAGGUAGCCGUACCGGAAGGUGCGGCUGGAUCACCUCCU
rnacentral:rRNA from 1 species